UUAAAUAAAGCUUUCGCCGUUUUGAACAGCUCGCCGCAAGGCCUUUAGGGAAAUGUAGUCUUCGCGGAGUAUUGUCUACUGUUCCGCCUCAGCCUGGUAGAACGGGAACAUCACGGAUCAGGAAAUCGGGUCUGCUGCCCCCGGUGGGAAGCAUAUCGCACACUACAGAUGAGGGGGAACAUGGUGACCCACAGACUGUGACCUGCACCUCUGGCUGGUAGGGACCAGAAGUGGCCACAAUGCAACAGACAUUAGAGUUGGCACUGGACCGGGCUGAGUAUGUCAUUGAGAGUGCCAGACAGAGACCUCCAAAACGCAAGCAUUCAUCCGGAUCGAGGUGAUUUCCAGUCUCCCUAUUAGAAACGUGUGAUGGAUGUAGCGGGUAUUUUUCUCCCGCACAUGUCUGCGCCACGGCUUUGUAGACGAUGAGGCAUCUGCUCCAUUCAUAUGUCUUGCUUUCUAGUGGAGCUCCCAUGUUAAGCAGAAUUUGGUCCACAAGGUUCUCAGGCUAAAACAUCUUCUCUUCUUGCCUACCACAUCUCAGAUUACUCAUAUGGAAAUGUAAUUACAUUCACAAGUAAGCGAGCGCUGAAUGCCAGGAGAUGUGUGUCAGUAGGAAGCUGCUGUGUGUGCCAGGUGUGCACAAGGAAACAGAUGUCGGCGCGCAGCACCAUGCUCGCGGGCAGGGGCCUCACUGAUUUGACCGCACGUUUAGCCACAUGUAGAAACAAUUUAUAUUGUGAUAUGUAUACUGAUAAGACCUAAAACCGCCUGCCUAAUACUGUGUAGAUCCCGCUUGUGCCGCUAAAACACAGUUCUCACCCAUCAAGACAUAGGCUCCACAAGAUCUCUGAAGGCGUCCUGUGGUAUCUGGCACCAAGAGGGUUGCAGCAGAUCCUAUAAGUCCUGUAAACUACAGUGUGGAGCCUCCAUGGAUUAGACUUGUUUAUCCAGCAUGUCCCACAGAAGCUCAGUGAUCUCAGUGCCAUCUGUGGAAUGUGAAGACCAGGUCAUUGCCAAGUCCCUAUCAGACUGCCCAACUUUCAGACCAAUUAUUGGGUACAAGCAUUCAUAUGAACGCUGAUUGCCGAUAUCUGCCUCGUAUAAUCUAGCAGCCAUUCGCCCAAUGAACAAGCAAACGCAGAUUCAUUGGGUGAUUGGCAUCGGGAUGAACGAUGCCCAAUUAUCGGCGUUACUUCUUCCUGUGUAAUUAGGGAUGUGCUGCUGAUAAUGACUAGAACAGAAUGAUGGAGGAACGAACCUUUCCAUCGGCCUGUGCAAUAAAGGUGUUGCCAUCCAUCAGCGCUCGUGCUCCUCAUACAUCGAACAUUGUAAUAUAACCUUGAGUCGUGUUCCUUAAACCAUUCCUGGACAAUUUAGGCGGUGUGUUAUGGCCCACUAUCCUGCUGAUAGCGGUUGCUGCCAUUAAGGGGUGUACUUGAUCUGUACAAUGUUUAGGUCAGAUUAACCUCCACAUGCCAGGACCCAAGAUUUUCCAACACAAUAGUGCCCAGAGCAUCGCACUCCCUCCACCAGCUUGGCUUAAAGGGCAUCUGUCAGCAGAUUUGUACCCAUGAAACUGGCUGACCUGCGCCCUUGGCAGCUGAAGGCCUUCCUGUCAUAGCCAGCAUUCACUUUUCCAGCAACUGCAAUGUGGCCAGAUGUGCUAGGCUUCUCUCCACUCGUGCAUCAGUGAUCCUUGGGGGCUUAUGACCCUGUGGGUUUACUGUUUUUGUUUGCACUAACCACUGCAUAGGGAGGAUACCCCACAAGACCUGCCAUUUUGGAGAUGCUCUGACACCAGCCCUUGUCAGCUUUAGGCUACUUUCACA